GACGAACGCUGGCGGCGUGCUUAACACAUGCAAGUCGAACGGAAAGGCCCUGCUUUCGUGGGGUGCUCGAGUGGCGACCGGGUGAGUAACACGUGAGUAACCUGCCCUUGACUUGGGGAUAACUUCAGGAAACUGGGGCUAAUACCGGAUAGGAGCUCCUGCUGCAUGGUGGGGGUUGGAAAGUUUCGGCGGAUGGGGAUGGACUCGCGGCUUAUCAGCUUGUUGGUGGGGUAGUGGCUUACCACGGCUUUGACGGGUAGCCGGCCUGAGAGGGUGACCGGCCACAUUGGGACUGAGAUACGGCCCAGACUGCUACGGGAGGCAGCAGUGGGGAAUAUUGCACAAUGGGCGGAAGCCGGAUGCAGCAACGCCGCGUGGUGGAUGACGGCCUUCGGGUUGUAAACCGCUUUCGCCUGUGACGAAGCGUGAGUGACGGUAAUGUGUAAAGAAGCACCGGCUAACUACGUG
rnacentral:rRNA from 1 species